rnacentral:lncRNA from 1 species
AACAAGAGUGCACACGCUGAAAUGUCUCGCCCUCUAUACUAAUCAUUGAUAUUAUGUUGAUAGUCCUAAGUAUAAAGCUAAGCUUUAUUACAACUGUCACAUAAACUUAACAUUAAUCAAGAUAACUUAACAGAGACCAAUGAACCUUGAAAAUGAGGUCAAGGUCAGAUGAACCAUGCCAGGCAGACAUGUACAGCUAACAAUGCUUCUAUACAACAUAUAUAGU